rnacentral:rRNA from 1 species
AAUGAACGCUGGCGGCAGGCCUAAAACAUGCAAGUCGAGCGCCUGUAGCAAUACAGGAGCGGCGCACGGGUGCGUAACACGUGGGAAUAUGCCUUUUGGUACGGAACGACUCCGGGAAACUGGAGCUAAUACCGUAUGGUCCCUUCGGGGUAAAGAUUUAUCGCCAAAAGAUUAGCCCGCGCUGGAUUAGCUAGUUGGUGAGGGAAUGGCUCACCAAGGCGACGAUCCAUAGCUGGUCUGAGAGGACGAUCAGCCACACUGGGACUGAGACACGGCCCAGACUCCUACGGGAGGCAGCAGUUAGGAAUAUUGGACAAUGGGCGCAAGCCUGAUCCAGCCAUGCCGCGUGAGCGAUGAAGGCCUUCGGGUUGUAAAGCUCUUUAGUCCACGAAUAUAAUGACUGUAGUGGAAGAAUAAGCCCCGGCUAACUUCGUGCCAGCCGCCGCAGUAACAC